rnacentral:rRNA from 1 species
CCUACGGGGGGCUGCAGUGGGGAAUAUUGGACAAUGGGGGGAACCCUGAUCCAGCCAUGCCGCGUGUGUGAAGAAGGCCCUCGGGUUGUAAAGCACUUUCAGUGAGGAAGAACGCCUGGUGGUUAAUACCCAUCAGGAAAGACAUCACUCACAGAAGAAGCACCGGCUAACUCCGUGCCAGCAGCCGCGGUAAUACGGAGGGUGCGAGCGUUAAUCGGAAUUACUGGGCGUAAAGCGCGCGUAGGUGGCUUGAUAAGCCGGUUGUGAAAGCCCCGGACUCAACCUGGGAACGGCAUCCGGAACUGUCAAGCUAGAGUGCAGGAGAGGAAGGUAGAAUUCCCGGUGUAGCGGUGAAAUGCGUAGAGAUCGGGAGGAAUACCAGUGGCGAAGGCGGCCUUCUGGACUGACACUGACACUGAGGUGCGAAAGCGUGGGUAGCAAACAGGAUUAGAUACCCGAGUAGUC